UCGGGAAUUUUGGGCAAUGGGCGAAAGCCUGACCCAGCAACGCCGCGUGAAGGAUGAAGUAUUUCGGUAUGUAAACUUCGAAAGAAUAGGAAGAAUAAAUGACGGUACUAUUUAUAAGGUCCGGCUAACUACGUGCCAGCAGCCGCGGUAAUACGUAGGGACCAAGCGUUGUUCGGAAUUACUGGGCGUAAAGGGCUCGUAGGCGGCCAACUAAGUCAGACGUGAAAUCCCUCGGCUUAACCGGGGAACUGCGUCUGAUACUGGAUGGCUUGAAUCCGGGAGAGGGAUGUGGAAUUCCAGGUGUAGCGGUGAAAUGCGUAGAUAUCUGGAGGAACACCGGUGGCGAAGGCGGCAUCCUGGACCGGUAUUGACGCUGAGUGAGCGAAAGCCAGGGGAGCAAACGGGAUUAGAUACCCCCGUAGUCCCUGAGCGGGCUGGCAAGGCGCAU
rnacentral:rRNA from 1 species